UACGUAGGGUGCGAGCGUUAAUCGGAAUUACUGGGCGUAAAGCGUGCGCAGGCGGUUCGCUGUGUCCGAUGUGAAAGCCCCGGGCUUAACCUGGGAAUGGCAUUGGAAACUGGCGGGCUUGAGUGUGGCAGAGGGGGUGGGAAUUCCGCGUGUAGCAGUGAAAUGCGUAGAGAUGUGGAGGAACACCGAUGGCGAAGGCAGCCCCCUGGGUCGACACUGACGCUCAUGCACGAAAGCGUGGGGAGCAAACAGG
rnacentral:rRNA from 1 species